GGAAGGAUGGCGGAGCGGUCGAUCGCGGCGGUCUUGAAAACCGUUGAGCCGCAAGGCUCCGGGGGUUCGAAUCCCUCUCCUUCCG
rnacentral:tRNA from 2 species